ACGCCCUCGUCUAACACCCUGCAUUGUGCACUGCGCUCACAGUGGGGUGAUUUCAGGGGGCGGAGAUGC
rnacentral:snoRNA from 1 species